rnacentral:rRNA from 1 species
UACGUAGGGGGCAAGCGUUGUCCGGAUUUAUUGGGCGUAAAGAGCGUGUAGGCGGCCUGACGAGUCUGCUGUGAAAACUCGAGGCUCAACCUCGAGAUGUCGGCGGAAACUGUCUGGCUAGAGUCCGGAAGAGGAGAGUGGAAUUCCUGGUGUAGCGGUGAAAUGCGCAGAUAUCAGGAAGAACAUCGGUGGCGAAGGCGCUCUGCUGGACCAUAACUGACACUCAGGGACGAAAGCUAGGGGAGCGAAUGGG